rnacentral:tRNA from 1 species
GAGAAUUUACUGGUUGUCGCUGCUAACGAUGAUUUGAAUGCUGAUAGCAUUCGAUUCUCU